rnacentral:rRNA from 1 species
UACGUAGGGGCCGAGCGUUGUCCGGAGUUAUUGGGCGUAAAGCGCGCGCAGGCGGCCUCGCGCGCCCGACGUGAAAGCCCCCGGCUUAACCGGGGAGGGUCGUUGGGGACGGCGGGGCUUGAGGGCGGGAGAGGUCGGUGGAAUUCCCGGUGUAGUGGUGAAAUGCGUAGAGAUCGGGAGGAAGGCCGGUGGCGAAGGCGGCGCUCUGGAACGUUACUGACGCUGAGACACGAAAGCGUGGGGAGCAAACAGG